CUUUCCCUCUCACAAAAUUUCCCCCAAAUUUUUGCCCUCUCACUCUUUCACUUAGGGAUUUCAUGAGCUCUCUCCUUCUCAUUCUCACUCUCUCUCACGAUGCUCUCUCUUUCUCCCUUCACUCCUCUUCUCUCUUUCUCCCCUAACUCAUCUUCGAUCUAUCCAACAGACCCAUGUGCCACCGCCACCCACUGCAUAGCCACCUUCUGCCACCGAUGCUAGCCACCACCGCCACCGUCGACCUCCAAUCUUGCCGUUAGGUGUGGCUUUUGCUCUCCCUCUCACCUUCGGCUCUCCCUCACUCCAUCGCCAUGGCUCCUUCGAUUUGUACUUCGCAUGGCCUUCAGAUCCUUCGACUUACAUCGCCGUCGUCGACCUCCAUCCACGCCGUUCGUUUGAUGCAUCUGAUAUGGUUUUGGGAUUGUAUACUUGUAUUGUUAACUUGGUGGUUUAAUAAUCCGAUAUAGCAGGUGCUGGUAAUUUGUCACUUUGAUGACCGUCCAAGCUACCAGACAAUUUGUCUCUAAGUUGCAGCUAGGAAGACCAAAAGCAAGGAAUUGAUACUGCUUUGCCCACACAACAGCAAACAAGAUACUGGAAGUCUCCCUAUGCUCCAGCAGGUGGUGAAGAUGGAGGAAGUGCUGCAUCUGAGGAUGGGACUACCAAUGUAUGAGACGCUGCUGUUGGCUCUUUACUCUUAUGAGAACUGCUAAUUGUUAUUCGGAUACCUACAUAGGUAAUGAGUACUUUUCUGUUGUUUUCCAAAAUAAAGUCUGGUGAAAAUGUUUUGUUGUUAGCUAAAGGAACAAACUAUAAUUAUAAUGCAAUUGAGAUUUAUGAAGCUUCAGUUUCUACUGUUCCAUAUGUUUUUCUGUGUGGGACAUCGCUGCUCAUUUUAUGAUAAAUGUAAAUAAAAAGGCUUAUGUAUGACUAGCAAAAAAAUUUUCUGUUGUUUAUUAUUAUAGGUAUCUGGUUGUAUUGUUGAAACUAUACAUGUCCUUUGUAUUUUACUUGGGAAAUGACAAUUGUCUCCAAUUAACUCUAGCUUAAAUGGUAUAAGAAUAAGGUGAAGGAUGAGAUUGUGAGAUCGAGACUCAUGGGUGCACGAGUAACUGGCUAAUAAAAAAAAAGAAUUGACAAUUGUCUCUUUUAAAUUUAAUAACAAAAAUAUUUACAUAUUGUUUCCAUAUAGACAAAAUUGUUAAAGAUCAUUGAUGUGUUUGUCAUUGGCGUGAAGUUUCAAGCUUUGGUGCCUUUUUCUCGACCUUGUUUGUAAGUCAGAUUGUUUAACUCUCACUCUCAGUUUGGUUUCAUAAUUAAGCCAAGUCUUUCUUUUGAAUGUGGCCGAUUCUAGGUACAAAUGGCUACAUUUUAACUUUGUUUGAGUAUGUAAUGUGCUAUGCACAUUUAAUAUAAUAUCCAUACUUCAUUUUUCAGUCAAAACACUCUGUAACUCCAACACCCAUGAAUAAAAUCUCUCAUCUCCACCUUUGAAAGUAAGACCAAAAGUAUUGGACAAGCUUAAAAUCUGAAGUUUCUUUUCCCUUCUUUCCUCAAGGUAAUUUCUUUUGUUGCCUAAACCAGUCUUGGGCUGCUUGAAAUGAUUAGAAUUCUAAAUGAUUACAACAACAACAACCAAGCCAUAAUCCUAAAUUUUUUGGGUUUGGCUUUAGAUCUGGAACAGUUUGUUAGAAUCUGUCACAAGUAUUCUUUUCCACCAUUCUAUUCUAUUUGUAAACUGAAAUCAUACUUCCUAUUAUUUUCUUAAUUGAGAUGUUAUUUUUUACUACUACUACUAAUGCUAUUUUUUGUAAUCCUUUACCUUUUUUUGCCCAGAAAUUGAUGAUUGGUCGGAGGAUUUUGAUUUUGCAGAAGAGGUCUUUCAGAUCCGUUCGGCGGAUCCUAUGUCCGUACACCUCCCAAACUCCGAACCCGAAUCUAUCCCCAGCCCAAGCCUCGGCGUCGUUUCGGUCCGCUGGUAGUCAUAGUAGUAUUCUUCAUGUGAGUCCCCUGUUCUUCUUGUAUUUUGAUAUCUCGGUGCGUCGUCGUUUUUAGCUUAAUGAUCAAGUCACAUCGUUAUUUAUUUAUUUAUUAUAGUUUUCAUAUAGAGUUAAAUUAACAUUUCUAUAAUUACCGUGAAACAUUUAUCAAUUAGUCUAGUUUGUCACACCUAACUGAGCUUGGUAUAUGUAGGAAAAUUUGAGGAUGAACUAGUUCUUCAUUGACUUUA